rnacentral:tRNA from 1 species
GCUGGAGUAGCUCAGUUGGUUAGAGUGUGUGGCUUCAAAAGCACAAGGUCGUAGGUUCAAGCCCUUCCUUCAAAUCU